rnacentral:tRNA from 1 species
GUCCUAUAGCUCAGUUGGUUAGAGCACCUGACUCAUAAUCAGGGAGUCCUUGGUUCAAGCCCAAGUGGGACCA